AUGAACAAAGAAAGGAAAAACCAGUUUGGGCUCCCAGUUCAUCCCAGUUCAUCCCAGUCCGUCCCAGUUUGGCUCAGGCGGUGCCCGGGGGCGGCUCUGGGGGGGGUUGGGGCCCUCCCAGUUGCUCCCAGUCCGUCCCAGUUUGGCUCCCGGUCUGUCCCAGUUGCUCCUGGUCCGUCCCAGUUUGUCCCAGUUGCUCCCAGUCCGUCCCAGUCUGUCCCAGUCCCAGCAGCUCCCGCAGGUCCGGGGGCAGCGCCUGGGGGAGGGGCGGGGUCAUUUGAGGUCACUUUUGGGGCAUUUGGGUCACUCGGGGGUCACUGGGGUCACCUGAGGUCACCCAGGGGCCACUCAGGGUCCUUUGAGGUCAUCCAGGGGUCACAUCAGGGUCACCCAGGGGUCACUUUGGGGUCAUUUGAGGUCACUUUUGGGGCAUUUGGGUCACCCAGGGGUCACUGGGGUCAUCCAGGGGUCACUUUGGGGUCACCUUGGGUCACUUUGGGGUCACUUGGGUCACUUUGGGGUCAGCCUGGGGUCACCCAGGGGUCAUUUGGGGUCACCCAGGGGUCAUUUGGUGCCAGUCUGGGACACUGGGGACACUCAGGGGACAUUUUGGGGACAUUUGGGGACAUUUUGGGGACAUUGGUGACAUCUGGGGACACCCAGUGACAUUUGGGGUCAUUGGGGCAUUGGGGACAUUUGGGGACAUUGGGGACAUUGGGGACAUUGGGGACACUCAGGUGACACUUGUUGACACUUGGGGACACCUGGAGACAUUUGGGGCCAUUCUGGUGACAUCGGUGACAUUGGGGACAUUUGGGGACAUCUGGGGCCAUUUGGGCCAUUUUGGGGCCAUUUGGGGACAUUCUGGGGACAUUCUGGUGACAUUUUGGGGCCAUUUUGGUGACAUUUUGGGCCAUUCUGGGGCCAUUUGGUGACAUUUUGGGACAUUUGGUGACAUUGGUGACAUUGGUGACAUUUGGUGACAUUGUUGUGUGUCACUGACCCGAGUGGCCGCCACCCGCAGGAGUCCCUCAGCGCGACGCAGCAGCUCCGGAACUGCCACCACCGGGGACAGCUGGGGACAAGGGACAUGGGACAUGGGGACAGUGCCACCACCCUGUCCUGGUGUCACCCCAGUGCCACCAGCGUGUCCCUGUGCCACCAACCCUGUCCCUGUGUCACCCACCGCCACCAACGGGGACAGCU
rnacentral:lncRNA from 1 species